rnacentral:rRNA from 1 species
UACGUAGGGUGCAAGCGUUAAUCGGAAUUACUGGGCGUAAAGGGUGCGCAGGCGGCUCCGCAUGUCGGGCGUGAAAUCCCCGGGCUUAACCUGGGAAUUGCGUCCGAAACUAUGGAGCUGGAGUGUGGCAGAGGGAGGUGGAAUUCCACGUGUAGCGGUGAAAUGCGUAGAGAUGUGGAGGAACACCGAUGGCGAAGGCGGCUCACUGGCUCGUAACUGACGCUCAUGCACGACAGCGUGGGGAUCAAACAGG